UGGACUUAGGAUUGGUGCUAGAGCAGUAGCAUUAGAAACAGACACUGUCUGUUGGACAGCAGCAAUAAUGUCUGAAUGUGAAACCACCUCAUUAUCACCCUUUGGCUUUGGGAAAAAUUCUGCAACUGUAACAUUUGUAUCAGAAUCACUUGUUUGAGCUCCCAACUGCUGCUUUGGACAGCAGCAAUAAUGUUUGAAUGUGAAACCACCUCAUUAUCACCCUUUGGCUUGGGGAAAAAUUCUGCAACUGUAACAUUUGUAUCAGAAUCACUUGUUGGAGCUCCCAACUGCUGCUCCUUACAGCUGUGAUAUUGUCCAGGCUGUGCACCAGUAAUAACCUGAUCCACAUUUGUAACCACAACCUUCAAUGGCACAUUGCUAUGCUUGGAAGAAAUUUCUGCAACUGUAACAUUUGUAUCAGAAUCACUUGUUUGAGCUCCCAACUGCUGCACCUUGCAGCUGUGAUACUGUCCAGCCUUUGCACCGGUAAUAACCUGAUCUGCAGAAAUGGGCCUUGUCCCAGUAGUAUCCACCUUAGGAGGUCCUAUAUCCUUCAAUACGUCCUCCAUAUACUUCAGUGGGACUGUUACAGUUUGUGCAUCUGAUACAUCAGCAGCCACAGCAUUCAUAAGCAUUACUUGUUGAUUUGCAUCACCUCUAUUCACUUGAUUCAGAUUUAUAGAAGGUCUGAGGCUAUCUGCAGUAAGCUCCUGCAUAGACACACCUGGAUCUGCAGAUUGUAUGACAGAAACCAUUUGAGCAAUAUCAUCCUGCACUACUGCCUUAUUUUCAGUUACUCCACUCGAAGGAAAAUGUAAAGUUGUUGAUUUCUGCCUUUCGUACGUGAAACAUUUGAGCAACAUCAUCCUGCACUACUGCCUUAUUUUCAGUUACUCCACUCGAAGGAAAAUGUAAAGUUGCUGAUUUCUGCCUUUCGUUCAUUUGCAUCCCAUGACUAUUUGUAAUUGGAUUAACUUUACCAGUUUGUUCAUCAUAACCCAAAGCCUUCGACUGUCCUACAUCCUGAAUAUCUGGUCGACCAUCUGCCUUGAUCGCAUUCAAAUAGUCCGUUGCAU
rnacentral:lncRNA from 1 species